GCCGGAGUAGUUCAGUGGUAGAACGUUUUCUUGGUAAGAAAAAGGCUGCGAGUUCAAUUCUCGCCUCCGGCU
rnacentral:tRNA from 2 species